AAGUCGUAACAAGGUUUCCGUAGGUGAACCUGCGGAAGGAUCAUUAGUGAAUUAAACAUGCUGGGUGUCUUCGCUUCGGCAAGGCCCUUGCUUAAAUCACAUCCUAACACCUGUGAACUGUAAGACGUAUGAUGAGGUCUUUGGCCAAGUCAUCGUCUGCCCAUUUUUAACAAACAAUUAAUGUAACAAACGUAGUCUUAUUAUAACCUAAUAAAACUUUCAACAACGGAUCUCUUGGCUCUC
rnacentral:misc_RNA from 1 species